GGAUACAAAGAUGCACUUUCUGAAAACUAUUCCGCGGUUAAGCAGUUCAGAUAAUUAAUAUAGUUCAACUCUUAAUUCUUAUAUAAAAUACUGUUGAUAGGUUUCCUAUACACAAGCUAAAUCACUAAAGCACUUUGUAUGAUUAAAUAUUAAAAAAAUUUACGAAUAUUGCAUAUAUUUAACAUAAAAUCAAAUAAAUCAACUCGAAUUGUUAGCACUGUGAAAUGAAGGAUUUUUUUCUCCGUGUGGCAUACAUACGUAAAAUAGUUGUGCAUGUACCACAAUCGAAAACGCCAAGUAGCUGCCGUGCCGCCGCAGCCUCCGCCGCUCUCUGUUCCGUUCUCUCGGCCUGGCUUUCGGUUAACCUCAGUCGGGCUCCUACAACCUCACCUCGCCAGGCGGCGCGGCAAUCAGCGCUGUGUCGUGUGGAUCGGCGGACGAACCGACGGACGGUGCUUGUGUGCUUUCCGCCAUGGUAAAGGGUGACUCCCCCCAGCUUCCUUUCCUCCGAGCUCCCCCCACUUGGAUCCCGCACUCACCAAUUCACGUUGUUUGUCUUUUGGCGCUGCGCACGCGUGGAACUGUGGUUAAGAACGUAAAGCAGCGGGCGCUAGUUUUCACUGAAGCACUAGACAUUCUACGCAAUGUAAAAUAUUUAUGUAAAAUGCAAUUUUACAGUAAAUAUUUAAAAAGUACAUUCAUGAUGAUAAGUAACAAUAAAUAAAGAUAAAAUUAAAAAUAUUUAAUGUAAUAUGUUGAGUUCCAGGAGCCCAAUUACAAACACU
rnacentral:lncRNA from 1 species